rnacentral:lncRNA from 1 species
GGAGAGCACUUGGAACCCAACGAUGAACUGAGAAGCCUGCUGAGAAAGGGCAGGAAAAGUGAGUGGAGAGGCAUUCAGAGGCUUCUUGCCUGGUGAGUCAAGAGUUGAGGUUCCCUACCAAUGAAAUGGGAUGCAGAGGAGAAAGGGAGGUUUGAAAUUGCUGCUUUGGUUCUGAGAAGAGAGUCAGGGGGUUUAGGAGGCUGCCUUGUGUUGUCUAAGUCACAUUGUCAUUUUGGACAUUUGGAGGCACAUUUGAGCUAUCUGGUCUACCCAGGUGGUCUACCAGUGGUAUUAUCUGAUUUAGUUGUGUUACCUGCUACCUGGGGACAGGGAGGGACAGCUGGGGCAGGACUCUGAAUCUCUGCCCUUAAUUCUAGCACUUGAGAGGUAGAGACAGGAGGAUCUAUCAGAAGUUGAGGGCCAGACCGGAUGACAUUAGACCCUGUCUCUUAAAAUUAAAAUCCAAACCAAUUGGAAUCAAAGUCUCCUACCCAAAUUGUUGUUUGAGAGCAUCCAGCAGCAAGGGCUUUAUGAAAUGCCCACCUCCUUGCCUUGUCACAGGCAGCCCACUGUUCCCUAAAACUUUUUCUGCAGGUAUCCCAGAGGUGCUAGGGUGGGAGGGUUGACACAGACCUGAAUGAUACAGUCUCUUCCAGAUAUUUGUGGAUAACUUUGUGCAUGGAGACCUACACCCUGGAAACAUCCUGGUCCAGGGUGCUGAUGGAGUGUCCUCAAGCCUGGAGAUGCAGCAGCAGCAAGUGGAUGUCUAUGACACACUGGUGGCUACCAUAGCACCUGCCCUGUGCCCACUGCGCCUGGUGUUGUUGGAUGCCGGCAUUGUGGCAAAGUUGCAGGCUUCGGACCUGAGGAAUUUCCGGGCAGUUUUCCUGGCUGUAGCGAUGGGACAGGGCCACAGAGUGGCUGAGCUCAUGCUGCAUCAUGCCCAGGCCAAUGAGUGCAAGGAUGUGGAAAAGUUCAAGGCUGAGAUGGCUACACUGGUGACCCAGGCCAGGAAGAACACCCUCACACUGGAAAAGCUUCAUGUUUCCAGCCUCCUGUCCAGUGUCUUUAAGCUACUGAUGACCCAUAAGGUGAGGUGCUGUUAGAGGGUGGGUGGGGGGAGAAUCCCAUGGACAGCUCAAGCGGGGCUCAGUGAUGUGGUUGUCCCAGAUCCUGAGCUGCAUUCCAAGGUCAGAGAAGAACUGCUGUUUGUCUGCUCCAGGUGAAGCUGGAGAGCAACUUCGCCUCCAUUGUGGUGGCCAUCAUGGUGCUGGAGGGGCUCGGCCGCUCACUGGACCCCAAGUUGGACAUCCUGGAGGCAGCAAAACCCUUCCUCCUCAAAGGGCCAGCAUCCUUCCUGUGACUGUGGCAGUGGGCACACAGUAAAGGCAGAUCCCAAGGGUCUGUCCUUUGGCAACUGAGACAUCUAAAAUUGGGAUGUGUGGCAGAAUCAGCACCACCGCUCCCAGUGGCCUAGCCUCAGGGUCUGCUUAAAAAACUUUGGGUUAUUUUAGGGCAAAGGGAGGGAAACGGAAACUGGUGCCAGGGACACUAUUUCAGGAAAGAAGACAAAAUACAUUUACUUAUUUUGUUUUUCUG